GGGACUUCUUUAGGUGGCUUGUGGAUGUUGUUGAAAUUGACUCAGUGUGGUUUCUUCAAUUCUUGUAGUUCCACCUGUGGUGGUGUCUUGUUGUGUGUCAUGUGUGUUGUGUGUCGUGGGAUUGGAUGUAAUGACAACUGGCCCUGAUGUUUCUUCACCUGUUGCUGUGGCUGUGAUGUUGAAGUAGAGGUUUCACAAUUACAGUGGUGGGUUGUUGUUGGGCCAGAGGUGACUUCUUUAGGUGGUUUUGUAGAUGGACUUGUCUCAUUUGUGGUUUCUUCAACUGUUGUCGUUCCACCUGUGGUAGGUGUCGUUGUUGUGGGUGCAAUUGUUGUUGUUUGUUAAAGUUGUGGAUUGGAUGUAAUGACAACUGGCCCUUGUUUCUUCACCUGUUGCUGUGGGCUGUGAGUGUGAAGUAGAGGUUUCAACAAUUACAGUGGUGGAAGUGGUUGUUGGGCCAGGGUGACUUCUUUAGGUGUUUUGUGAGGACUUGUCUCAUUUGUGGUUUCUUCAACUGUGUGUUUUCACCUGUGGUAGGUGUCGUUGUUGGUGUGCAAUUGUUGUUGUUUUAAGUAGUAGUGGGAUUGGUGUAAUGACAACUGGCCCUGAUGUUUCUUCACCUGUUGCUGUGGGCUGUGAGUUGAGUAGAGGUUUCAACAAUUACAGUGUGGAAGUGGUGUGGGCCCGUGGUGACUCUUUAGGUGGCUUUGUGAUGUAGAUGAAAUUGUCUCCGUUGUGUGUUCUUCAACUGUUGUCGUUACACCUGUGGUAGGUUGUAGUUCCUCGUUGUUGUUGUUAAGUAGUGGGAUUGGAUGUAAUGACAACUGGCCCUGGUUUCUUCACCUGUUGUUGUGGGCUGUGAUGUUGAAGUAGAGGUUUCAACAAUUACAGUGGUGGAGGUGUUGUUGGGCCCAGGUGGACUUCUUUGGUGGUUUGUGGAUGAACUUGUCUCAUUUGUGGUUUCUUCAACUGUUUGUCGUCCACCUGUGGUAGGUGUCGUUGUUGUGGGUGCAAUUGUUGUUGUUGUUAAAGUAGUGGGAUUGGAUGUAAUGACAACUGGCCCUGAUGUUUCUUCACCUGUUGCUGUGGGCUGUGAUGUUUAAGUAGAGGUUUCAACCAUUACGGGGGAAGUGGUUGUUGGGCCCGAGGGUGACUUCUUUAGGUGGUUUUGUAGAUGGAUUGUCUCAUUUGUGGUUUCUUCAACUGUUGUCGUUCCACCUGUGGUAGGUGUCGUUGUUGUGGUGCUGCAUUGUUGUUGUUGUUAAAGUAGUGGGAUUGGAAUGUAAUGACAACUGGCCCUGAUGUUUCUUCACCUGUUGCUGUGGGCUGUGAUGUUUAAGUGAGGUUUCAACAAUUACGUGGUGGAAGUGGUGUUGGGCCGUGGGACUUCUUUAGGUGGCUUGUGGAUGUAGAUGAAAUUGUCUCAGUUGUGGUUUCUUCAAUUCUUGUAGUUUCCACCUGUGGUAGGUGUAGUGGGUGCUUUUGGUUGUGGUUGAGUAGGGAUUGAGUAUGACAACUGGCCCUUGUUUCUCACCUGUUGUGUGGGCUGUGAUGUUAGAAGUAGAGGUUUCAACAAUUACAGUGGUGGAAGUGGUUUUUUGGCCGUGGGGACUUCUUUAGGUGGCUUUGUGGAUGUGUUGAAAUGCACUGUGUGGUUUCUUCAAUUCUUGGUUCCACCGUGGUAGGUGUCUUGUUGUGGGUGCAAUGUGUUGUUGUUAAGUAGUGGGAUUGGAAGUUAUGACAACUGGCCCUGUGUUGUUUCUUCACCUGUUGCUGUGGGCUGUGAGUUGAAGUAGAGGUUUCAACAAUUACAGUGGUGGAAGUGUGUUGGGCCGGGUGACUUCUUUAGGUGGCUUGUGAUGUAGAUGAA
rnacentral:lncRNA from 1 species